AUAUCAAUUGGUCAUGAAUGUGUUUUUAGUGUAAAGUGACAUUCUUAAUUAAAUACAAUUAGCAACGUAUCAGUGAAAUGGAUGAAACUUUGUUUUAGAGUCGGUUCCGUAUGUUCAAAAACCAACUAUAAUGAAUAAAAACCCUAAUAAAAAGUGCCGGCAGAGUGAACAUAACGUUGUCGAAGGUGAAUGUACGGAUGGACGAAAGGAACGAUUAGAAAAAAGAUGGAUCGCAAAUCGAUUGAAAUCCGAAAUCAAUUACUAUUGAUUGCCUGUUUAAAGUAAUGAGUCACUAAACAAUGGAAAGUUACAGCCUCAAAGUACACAAUUAAACAAAUAAUCGAGUAUUGGAACUUGUUUGUUCUACUAUCGUUGUAUGAACAAUGAGAAUAAAUAAAUCUCGAGUUGUUCAAUAUCUGAGCGUGUUAAGAACAAUUAGAAACAUCCAACUCAGGGCUGUCGGAUUAUGAUUAUGCGCCAAGGAAUUGAUACCGUCAGAAGGAUUCGUCUGCGAGAGGGAUUUCGAUCUUUUCAGGCCAGUGAGUAACCAAACAGGACACUGAUCUAGAAUAUAAUGAGUAAAGACGUGCUUGGAACGUGUACAAUGAGUACGAGGUACGAAGGAUGCACCCUCAUGACGAAACGUACGUGGAGAUGGAUUAUGGUCAGCUUCCCGAACAAAUGUUUUAUGAAGCCACUGAUCGAGGUAAUGCCCCUAGCAAGCUCAAAUUCGGUUUUGUCGAUAAAUUCUCAAAAAGUGUUCAUGAUCUGGAAAGUGUUAAACGUUCAGGAUACUCCGCCCAAAUGAAAAAUAUCAGGCAAUUGUCAAACAGAAGUUGAAGUAGAGGGGAAAUGUGACUCGGGGUGCGACAGAGA